GACGAACGCUGGCGGCGUGCUUAACACAUGCAAGUCGAGCGGUAAGGCCCUUUCGGGGGUACACGAGCGGCGAACGGGUGAGUAACACGUGGGUGACCUGCCCUCAGCUCUGGGAUAAGCCUGGGAAACCGGGUCUAAUACUGGAUAUGACUCCAUGACGCAUGUUGUGGGGUGGAAAGCCUUGUGCGGCUGAGGAUGGGCCCGCGGCCUAUCAGCUUGUUGGUGGGGUGAUGGCCUACCAAGGCGACGACGGGUAGCCGGCCUGAGAGGCGACCGGCCGCACUGGGACUGAGACACGGCCCAGACUCCUACGGGAGGCAGCAGUGGGGAAUCUUGCGCAAUGGGCGAAAGCCUGACGCAGCGACGCCGCGUGAGGGAUGACGGCCUGGUGUAAC
rnacentral:rRNA from 1 species